rnacentral:lncRNA from 1 species
GGCAGGGCCUGCCACGGGUCAGACCAUGUCCUGGAACCGCCCUCAGCCCCCCCACGGGGCGGGCCAACCUGAAGGCCUUGAAAACCUGAGCUGUGCUUGGGUCUGCACUGUGGUCUGCAGGAUACAGCUUCACUACAGCUGUCCCGGGCACCCACAAACCUCCCAGAGCCAUGGCCAGCAAGGGCUUGAAGGACCUGAAGCAGCAGGUGGAGGGGAUGGGCCAGGAAGGUGCCACUGCAGGCCAGCCAGUGGACCCCACUGAGGCUGGACAGAAAGGCGCUGAGAAGCCCCAGGAAGCCACCGACAAGGCUGCCAACCAGGGCUCUGAUGGGGCCACGGGGAAGAAGUUCAGCCACCAGAAAUGAGGCCGCCCCUCCCGGCCCUGUUCAUGGAACUUGGCCCUGAU